UGGAGCAACUAGGGGUUAAGUGUCUUGCUCAGGGACACAUUGGUUGAUGUAUCAAAGUGGGAACCCGGAUCUCUCACACCAAAGGUGAAGCUGCCAAUAUUGCUGCUUUUGGCCCUGCCUAUUCUGUACACUGAAGAUGAAGCUCUCAGUGUUUCCUGCCGGCCCUGCUGGCUAUGUCUUCAGCUGGUCUGCAAGACUCCAGCCUGGAAUGGCAGACCUCGUCUGGCUCUCUCCCAUCUGGUGCCAUUUCAAUUUACAAUGGAAAUGCCGCUCGCUACGACUAUGUCUGUCUACUAUACAAAUUCUAGUUAUAAUUAGCUGGAAAACAAGAUAGUUUAUAGGAGUGAUGAAGAAGGAGUCAAGAAAGCUUCCCUGAGAUGACAAAUGCAACAAGCGUUUUCAUUUUGAGCUUUAUAUUUUUAAGUCCCAGUCAGUAAUUUUUUGAACGUACUGUAUAUGUCGCAGUUAUAGUAAAAAUACAAUGAUGAUGAGUUUUUGUUUGUUUUAAUACAAAUGAAUGUAGGCUUGCAAUUACAUUAUUUAUAUGUGUAAGGAAUUGUAUUGUUACCUCUGUUUAAUGAUAAGAGGAAGUUAAGCCAUAGAGCUUUUAUUGUGAAGGGGAAAAGAAGUGGUGAAAUGCUGUGAUGAAAGUUUCCAUUGACUGUGUUUUUGAUUAAUAAAAGAGAAGACAUGUAGUGCUGUCUCGGUUCAGACAUUAAAGCUUGUGUUUUCAUUUUAUAGUUUCAUAGUAUAGUAUAUAGGUGACCUACAAAAACCUUUGUUACAAUGUGUGCAUGUAUGAGGAAGCAUUUUUCUGAUUCUUGAAUGAUUAUAAUAAA